rnacentral:rRNA from 1 species
GUCCACGCCCUAAACGAUGUGUGCUAGUUGUUGGUCCCUCAGGGAUCAGUGACGCAGCUAACGCGUUAAGCACACCGCCUGGGGAGUACGGCCGCAAGGUUAAAACUCAAAGAAAUUGACGGGGACCCGCACAAGCGGUGGAGCAUGUGGUUUAAUUCGAAGCAACGCGAAGAACCUUACCAACCCUUGACAUCCUGAUCGCGGAUCGUAGAGAUACUUUCCUUCAGUUCGGCUGGAUCAGUGACAGGUGCUGCACGGCU